UACGUAGGGGCCUAGCGUUGUCCGGAUUUAUUGGGCGUAAAGAGCUCGUAGGCGGUUUGGUUAGUCAGGUGUGAAAUCUCCACGCUCAACGUGGAGGGGCCACCUGAUACUGCCAUGACUUGAGUCCGGUAGGGGAGUGUGGAAUUCCAGGUGUAGCGGUGAAAUGCGUAGAUAUCUGGAGGAACACCGGUGGCGAAGGCGGCAUCCUGGACCAUUACUGACACUGAAUAGCGAAAGCCAGGGGAGCAAACGGG
rnacentral:rRNA from 1 species